CUACGACCCUUCCGUCUAACUUUUUUUUCGUUAGUUAGCCUUGUAGCUUUGAUAUAACGUACAGUGACAACGAAUUCGGUUACGGUAGACGAAGAACGAACUAUAGUGUGGAUAUAGGCCGCGGGACAAUAGUGUAAAGUGGAAAUAAAAGAAAAAUUAAGUGGAGGAGGUAAACAAGACAAACAAGGCGAGGAACAAAGGUAUGAUGCUCAGGAGAACACGCACGUAAUUACCUUCGUCACACCUGUUGGUCCGGCCAGGUGUUCCAGGUGCGGCGUGGGAAAGCCUCUCGGUGCCGGCAGGCACUCGGCGGGGCGGGCUCGGCUGCAGGGGCUUGGUGAGUG